rnacentral:rRNA from 1 species
AUUGAACGCUGGCGGCAUGCCUUACACAUGCAAGUCGAACGGCAGCGGACCUUCGGGUGCCGGCGAGUGGCGAACGGGUGAGUAAUAUAUCGGAACGUACCUUUCAGUGGGGGAUAACGUAGCGAAAGUUACGCUAAUACCGCAUAUUCUGUGAGCAGGAAAGCAGGGGAUCGCAAGACCUUGCGCUGAUUGAGCGGCCGAUAUCAGAUUAGCUAGUUGGUGAGGUAAAGGCUCACCAAGGCGACGAUCUGUAGCGGGUCUGAGAGGAUGAUCUGCCACACUGGAACUGAGACACGGUCCAGACUCCUACGGGAGGCAGCAGUGGGGAAUUUUGGACAAUGGGCGCAAGCCUGAUCCAGCCAUGCCGCGUGAGUAAAGAAGGCCU